rnacentral:lncRNA from 1 species
UCUUUUUCCCUUUCUUCUUCAACUUUUAGGCAAUGCCACAAAUGCAUGAUUGGCUCCAUUUCAUUGUUAACUUGAAUGUGGUACUUACACAGAAACCGAAUUGCACUUCUCUCUCUAUGUAUGCUCCCCAAAAAUUCAAUGGAUACUGAAAUACGCAUUUUUAAUAGUCUACUCAGCAGUCACUUACUCUGCUGUUAUGACAUCAUCUUAAUUGUUUCCAAACAUCGAUCUUUCUUCAAUAAGGUAAGCAUUGUUUCCUUUCUUUCUCUUUGGAUAUACAGUUGAUUUUUCGUUUUAAUCAUUUCGCCUUAUGAAUUAUUGAUUCUUUGUAUGAAGAGAGCUACAUAUAUUUUCUUUGCUAUACCUCUUUUAUAGUCGUCUAUUACUUAGAACCAUCACAUUUUCUUUUAAUUAAUUAACAAUGAACUGAGAAUUACUUAAAUGAACGUAAUUCUUUUUUAAGUUAUCUUCAUCUGUUCUUCCACCAUUAAAUUUUGCAAGAGUUUACGCCAUUACUACAGAAUUAAACAAUGUGGUGCUGGGCAGCAAAGACAAUAUAUAACUGUGGUCCUCCAUAUCUGGAAAUCUAGAAUAGUCAUUCCAAUCCAUUGAAUUGCAUAUUAUUAAUUCAUGAAAGCAUGACUUUAUUGGAGGCUAUAAUUUCAGUGUGGUAGGAUCUUAAGAUGGUGAAAUAAAUUCUGAGCUGCUUUACUCAAUCGAGGUAAAUGUGGCUUAAUUGUUAUCAGCUGGUGGCAUUAUUUUAACAUUUUUCCCUUUUAGGCCCCAAUUUUUCAGUUUUUAUUAGACCUGUUACCUGUACUGUGUUUGAGUAAACAAAUGAAAUAAACAUCUGAGUAGCAGACAAUGCAAGCUGUCUAUUUUCAGAUCCAAAGUGGCUAUUAGUACUUUAGAUUGUCAGGAGAAACAUAGAAAGUAACUAGAACCAAAGAUAUGGCAGAAGCCAGAAAUGUCUCAGGAUUCUCAGAUAUUGGGAUGCGGGCAACUCUUUAAGCUUAGAUUUUAAUCUUGAGAUUAUUUUUCUUUUCAUGAGCAUAAAUACUGUUCGCAAAUUACCAGCCUUUCCCUCCACAAUAUAUAUUUCUUGAUUGCUCCCGGGGAGGAGUUGAAUUGGCCAGAGUCAAGCUAGUUUUGUCAGUUUAAAGAACUUUUGAAGUUUUUAAAAUUUAACCUUUAACUAUUUCUUUUUUUUUUUUUAGAAAUUAUUUAUUAUCCUUUUAAUUGAGGUAUUUCGAAAAUAUAUGCCUAUUCCAAUAAAUAAUAGUAUCUCUCAUCCUAUCCCAUAUAUUAAGUUGACAAAAGUUUUAUCCUAUUUCCUUUUAUGUCAUUUUUAGUAUUUUGAGAUAAGUUACAUGUUUAAUGUGCAUGCAUAUUACAUCUUUAAAAAAUAACUUUAUUUACAGUUAAUUCCUAACUUCCUAUUAAUUUUCUAUUUUCUUAUUUUUUUACAUUUUUUUUAACCCUUCAACCAUAGAUAAAAUACAUUAAUAUUUCUAUUAUAAAAAUAAAAUUAAAAAGAUAAAAUAAUAAUACAGCAAUAUAUUAACUAUGGUAUAAUAUAUAUUUUUAAAAAUAAAUAAAAAAUAUUAUUAUAUAAGAAAAUAUUUUUUAGGGUAAUCCAAAUUGGAAGAUUUUAUUGCUGUUUAUUUACGGGUUAAAGUGAAUUUUUGAAUUCAUUAUUAUCUUUAGAGUUAGAGAGAUUAAUUCACAGCACCGCCCUCUCGGAAUCACAAUCAAUGGAAAAAGAAUCCGAAUUAAAUAAAGUAAAACAAGAGCAAAACAAUAUUUAGAGAAAAAAAAAAAAGCAAGAAAAGGAAAGCUUGUUAAUUAGAAUGACAAGCAGUCUACUAAUGCCUUUGUUUGAAAAGAGAGAGAUGAGAGAAGUACAAAUUAGAUAAUUAAGUUGCCUCUAGUCCUACCUCAUUAACCCUAACCCUAAUCCUAAAACAAUACAGAAAACAACCAUAUUAGAACUGACUCCACUUUCAUCUUUGAGAAGCCAAAGUCAAUGCCCGAACCUAUAACCCUGGCAGGGUGAUGAAUUGCCUUUCGCCAUGUUAAAACACCACGAGGCAAGGAUCAUGUGAGGUGCGUUCUUGACUUCUUUCAUUAAAUUUUCUGAAUCAUCUGGUCUUUUUUUGCAUUUUUUCCCUCGUUAUAUAUAUAUAUAUAUAUAUAUAUAUAUAUUAUCCCUGCAAUGACGAAGAAAUAGGGUUAAUCCUUUUUUUAUUUCUUUACUUUUCUUGGGACAAAGAAAUAGGGUUAAUCAUACAACAAAUGUUAAUGUCAAUUUCAUUAUAACGAAAGGUAGCAGAACUCUACAAUUAAUGAGAGAAAAUUUUCGAAUUGGCAAAAACUCCAAUUUGUACAUAAAAGUCAGUCAAAUUAUCGAAUUGAAACGAAAUAAAAACUCAAAGUUAGCGUUAAAACAUGAAAUUUUGUGACCUUCAUAGAAUUCAUAGUGAUUACUGGUAUAGUAUAACAAAAUUUACUCACAUUAACCUUCUAUCUAGUUAUGGUUAAAAAAGAAAACCCUUAUAUCUUGUAAAAGAAAAGCACAAAUUUACUCACCGGAAGAUAGGCCUUUCGAUCAUGCAGUCUCGCAUGUAACUGCUGCUUUGAUCCUUUCAACUGUGCACUUAAUUAGAUUGUUCACUGUCGCCACUGAUCCAAGAGAGAGUUUUGCAGUUGGAAUUGAAUCCACCAGGAUUUGAAAUGCAACAGUGACAAGAGCACCGCCGGACCCAACAUCAAGAAUUAUUCCAGGGCUGAAUCCAGGUCCAUCAGGAAGUAUAGCAAA